rnacentral:tRNA from 1 species
GCCCUGGUGGCAUAGUGGUAAAAGCACUUGGCUGCUAACCAAAAGGCCAGUGGUUCGAACCCCAUCAGCUGCU